UGUGUACAUUCACCUGUCGUUGUGUUCCAAAAUCAUAAGGCUUUAAUGUGGAGGGUUAUAGUUAGCCAAUUUCUCUCUUUCACGAGCAGGGAUUUGUUGCUUUGUUGACGCUACAGGGAAGUCCUGGUUUAAAGAAAGUUGUGGCUAGAGCUCUAAUAGGCAAUAAGGCAACAGCUACUUCAACAAGCUAUGCAUGAUAGCUGAUAUCAGCCGCAAAUCGUGCGUGUGUAGUUGUCCCAGAGACCGUUUAGUUCUAGUGUGACUGUGUGAUAUUGUACUCUGUAGUAUGUGCAGUAUUUCCGAAGACUGGUUGGUUUAUAUUUUUGUUAAUGUAAAUGAAAUAGGCUAUGUAAAGUUGUUGUGUGCACUACAGUAGUGAGACAAAAGCCUUUCAUAUAUUUAGGUUGCCUGUAUGUUUUGAAGGUGUGUCUGCAAAGCUCUGUAACGUUUUGUCUUUUUUUUUUUUUUUAAAUCUCUUAUGCUCUGGAUAAGAUGGACGUCUUUCCUCUGACCUGUUACCAAGACAGCUGGAUGUGUAAGAAGUUGGAACUAAGUCACUGAAGAAGUAAACCGUUGAAAACCGAUUUGGAUUGUCUGAGAGAUGACACAAGUAAAAGGAGAAGAAUGCUGCUCAGCUGGGUUGGCGAAGCUCUUGGAUAUCAUCAGCACAUGUAUGAAGCACAGAGUCAUUCCGGUAGGCACAGAGUUGUUCCUCGAUGGACGUGAUGACCUGGCACCAAAACCGCUUAAUGUGUAUGAGGCUGUGUCUGCAUCGAGGGAAGAACCCAGCACU